rnacentral:lncRNA from 1 species
GUGUCCGAGUCACUUCCGGUUUGCAGCUAGCAGCUGGGAGCCGCUCAGACACCCCACAGGAGCACCUGCAGGAGGGGCGCUCUGCCCUAGCAAGCGGCUUGAGAAACCGCAGGCUCCCUGACUGAGGUCAGCGUUGCAGGAAACCCCGAGGCCAGGGCUUCAGGGCAGGAUCCUUCCCCUGGGGACGGAGAUCCUUCCAGACUGCCUCCCGCCGGCUUCCUCCGAGUGAGUGGCUCCUGGAGGUCGCGAAACCUGCUCCGCUGUGGGACCGGAGGAGGCGCCCUGGAUCGGCCGUCCUCGUUCCCCUGACGGAGGGGCCGCGUCCCGGAGUCCGCCAUCUCUGCCGUUGUCUCCAGGCUUCGCUCUCCAGCUUCGGAGUCCGGGUUGUCUGCUGUGCAGGUCUGAAGACCCUUAGGGAGCAGCCUGGCUCCUGAGCUCCAGGGAAUGGUGAGUGGGCAGGGGCGCCUGGAGCUGGGCCGGGAGGCUGGGCCGGGAGGCUGGGGAGGGAGGCUGGGGCGGGACAGGAGCUGGCAGACGGCACCGGCAGUCUCUGGAGCCGGCAGGCCCGAGCCCCCAGUCCCCCUGGCCUCCUAGGUGGGGAGGUGUCCCCCUGGCCUCCCAGGUGGGGAGGUGUCCCCCCGGCCUCCUAGGUGGGGAGGUGUCCCACUGGCCUCCUAGGUGGGGACGUGUCCCCCCGGCCUCCUAGGUGGGGAGGUGUCCCACUGGCCUCCUAGGUGGGGACGUGUCCCACUGGCCUCCUAGGUGGGGAGGUGUCCCUCUGGCCUCCUAGGUGGGGAGGUGUCCCACUGGCCUCCUAGGUGGGGACGUGUCCCACUGGCCUCCUAGGUGGGGACAUGUCAGUGGCACCUUCUCAUCCUCUCUGGGCGUCCGCAGCCCCUGCCUUAGUACUCUCUGGCUGGUGUGCGCCUGCCACCCAGACUCUUGGCGACGCUGGUGAUUGACGGUGGGAGGGUUGUCAUAACCACAUCUCCACGUUUUCCUGCAGCAGAGAAGCGCCGGUCCACAGGGACCUCGCUUUUCUUCCUGAGCUAGCUCGUUUUCAUUUUUUUUUUUUAAGUUACCGAAAGUUGGGGAUAUUAUACUAGUGAGCUAUAUCCCUGAUACUAUUUAUUGAUUGAUUGAUUUAUUGGGACAGGUCUAGCUAAGUUGCUGAGAUUGGCCUUUUUAUGGUUUGAUUUAUCUAGACUUUUUCUAUUGUAAUUAAGUAUAAAUUUUUACAUUAUAUGGAUUCAUAUAUUGAUUUUGCUUUCAUUGUGAUUCCUUGGUAUUAUGGUAAUAUAGUAUAGUUUUAUAAUAUACAUGAAUGUCAGGUAAUGAUAAGUACUUAUUUUACUCUUAUAAUUGAAAAAUUGUCAUCUUUAUAAUGAUGAGUUUUAUCAUGUACACAUGGAUGUGCAAUUGAGUCUCUGAUGUGGUUCUGAUGACUUUUGUUUUCUCAUAAGUUCUACAUACCUGAAGUCCUAUCUGAGCACAUAUGUACCAGCAUUCCAGCACCUUCCCAGAUGGUGGGGGAUUGUGGAGUGGAAUGAUCAUCCAAAUCUCAACUCCAUGUAUUGUUUUCCUGCACGAGGGGUGUGUUUUCUGUAGGGGGUCUCAGUUUUUCUUUCCUGAUGAGCUUGCUUUUCUUUCUUUUUUGGGAGGAUGGUAUUACUGUGGAUUGAACCCAGAGGUUCUUUAUCAUUGAGCUACAUCCCUGGUACUUUUUUAUUUUUCUUUUUUUAUUUUGAGUCAGUUGCUGAGUAUGGUCUUGAACUUGUUUCCCAGUCUCCUGAGUUGCUGGGAUUACAGUUGAGUUCCAUUCUGCCUGUGUCCUCCUGAAUGAUCUCAAUGUAUGGAAACAAAGUGUCAAAUCCAGAACCCUGUCUCCCAGCCUAAACCUUUAUGUAGAUGUCGACAAAAUCUUAAAAUUUCAGCUACCUCUCCACAUUCCCAAUGAUAACUUCCCCUCUCCUCAAUAUUAUCAAUUAUUUUUCCCAUAUUACAUUUCAAAUGAGCACAGUAUUUUUUAAUUGUUUUACCAAGAACUGGAUGGAAUUUUCUUUCUUUUUUUUUAAAGAGAGAGAGAGAGAGAGAGAGAGAGAGAGAGAGUUUUCCUAAUAUUCAUUUUUUUUUUUUUUUUUUAGUUCUCAGCGGACACAACAUCUUUAUUUGUAUGUGGUGCUGAGGAUUGAACCCAGUGCUGCGCACAUGCCAGGCGAGCGUGCUACCGCUUGAGCUACCUCCCCAGCCCAUGGAUGGAAUUUUCUUAAAGGAUUUCUGUUUUGUUUUGUUUUUGGCUGGGUUUAAUGGCACUUGCCUGUAAUUCCAGAGACUCAGGUGGCUAAGGCAGGAAGAUUGCGAUUUUAAGGUCAACAUCAGGAAUUUAGGGAGACCAUGGGCAAUUUAGAAAGACGUGUCUUUAAAUUCUAAAACAAGGGCUGUGUAUGUAGCUCAUAUUUAACAUGCCCCUGUGUCAAAUCCCAGUACUAUAGAAAGAAUCAAAAGCAAAGGUUUUUGUUGUUGUUGUUUAUGAGCAUUUCCCAUGAUAGAAAAGUAGAGAAGAAUCACUUGACCUUUGCAAUAAUAUGUUUGUAUUCUCCCUUUGUCUCUCAAGGCCAGACAGCCUGUCAGAAUGUCUUUGUGCUGAGUGUCCCCUUUGUGGAAUUUAUGCCAGAGGGUUCUAAUUUCCCCUUCUGGUAUUUUCCUGGAACUGUCUGAUAUGAGGAUCCCUCAGCUAACACCUCUAAUGUCUCCUGAGAGUCCAGUGAAUAUGAGUACCUGGGUCUCAUCUUGUGAGCGAGCAGUCUAAAUUUAGGGAACAUACUUUCUCGGGGAAGUAGCUGAGUGCUCUAAAACUGGGAGAAAUCCCCCGGUGUACCCUGCAUCCAGAAGGCACUUUAGUUGUUUCCUUCUCUUGGCUACUGUGAAUACUGCUCCAGUGAAGAUGAGAAUGCAACCAAUUUACAGUCCCACCGGCAAUGUGUGAGUGUACCUUUUCCCCUGCAUCCUCACCAGCACUUGUUGUUGUUCAUAAUGGCUGCCAUUCUUACUGGAGUGAGAUGGUAUCUUAGAAUAGCUAUCUAACAUUUAUCUAACAUACUGACUUCAACUACUGUGGAAAUGCACCCAGAAUUAUUAUUAUUGUGUUAGAUUUUAAAGAACUUUCAACUUCCCAUGCUUUUUUUUUUUUUUUUAAAUGGCUCCACUAAAUUCAUAUUCUGGCACACAAGCCUUACCAGUGAUCUGUGCCUUACAAGUGUUGCUUUCUUCCAAAUUCAUAUAAUUGGAGUACUAGUUAUUCUUCAACUUUUUCAUAUUAGCCAUUUUCUGUAGCUGUGCUCAGGCUGCAGAAGGUUUUUUUAUUAUUAUUAUUUGUUUAAAUUAGUUACAUUUGAGAGUACAAUGACCUUGACAUAUCAUACAUUUGAAUCAGAUGGGAUAUAAUAUCUCAUUUUUCUGAGUGUACGGGUUGCAGAAUCACAUUGGUCAUGCAUUCACAUACAUACACACAGUAAUAAUAAUGUCUAUUUCAUCCUACUGUCCUUCCUAUCCUCCCAUCUCCUCCCCUCCCCUCCCAUCACUUCUCUUUACCUAAUCUAAGGUAACACUAUUUUUUUUUCCCUCACAUCUUCAUACAUGUAUUCUGUAUAACGAAGGGGGUCUCCUUCCCUCUCCCAUGCAAUUCCCCUUCUCCCUCCCUUUCCCUCCCACCUCUUCCUUAUCUAGAGGUAAUCUUCUUCACAUGCUCUUCCUCCCUACCCCAUUUUGAGUCACCCCCCUUAUAUCAGAGAAGACAUUCAGCAUUUGUUUUUUGGGAUUGGCUAACUUCACUUAGCAUAAUCUGCUCUAAUGCCAUCCAUUUCCCUGCAAAUGCCAUGAUCUUGUUAUUUUUUAGUGCUGAGUCAUAUUCCAUUGUGUAUAAAUGCCACAUUUUUUAAAAUCUAUUCAUCCAUUGAAGGGCAUCUAGGUUGGCUCCUCUGACUAGCUAUUGUGAAUUGUGCUGCUAUAAACAAUGAUGUGGCUGUGUCCAUGUAGUAUGCUGCUUUUAGGUCCUUUGGGUAUAGUGUGAGAAGAGGAACAGCUGGUCAAAUGGUGGUUCCAUUCCCAGCUUUCCAAGGAAUCUCCAUACUGCUUUCCAAAUUGGCUGCACCAAUUUACAGUCCCACCGGCAAUGUGUGAGUGUACCUUUUUCCCUGCAUCCUCACCAGCACUUGUUGUUGUUCAUAAUGGCUGCCAUUCUUACUGGAGUGAGAUGGUAUCUUAGAAUAGCUUUAAUUUGCAUUUCUCUGACUGUAGAGAUGGUGAGCAUUUUUACAUAUAUUUGUUGACUGAUUGUAUAUCCUCUUCUGAGAAGUUUCGGUUCAGAUCCUUGGUCCAUUUGUUGAUUGGGUUAUUUAUUUUUUUUGGUGUUUAGCUUUUUGAGUUCUUUGUAUACCCUAGAGAUUAGAGCUCUAUCUGAUGUGUGAGGGAUAAAAAUUUGUUCCCAGGAUGUAGGCUCCCUAUUCACCUCACAUAUUAUUUCUCUUGCUGAGAAAAAACUUUUUUGUAUGAAUUCAUCCCAUUUGUUGAUUCUUGGUUUUAAUUCUUGUGCUAUAGGUGUCUUAUUAAGGAUAUUGGGGCCUAAUCCCACGUGAUGGAGAUUAGGGCCAACUUUUUCUUCUAUUAGACGCAGAGUCUCUGGUUUGAUUUCUAGGUCCUUUGAUCCAUUUUGAGUUGAGUUUUGUGCAUGGUGAGAGAUAGGGAUUCAAUUUCAUUUUGUUGCAUAUGGAUUUCCAGUUUUCCCAGCACCAUUUGUAGAAGAUGCUAUCCUUUCUCCAGUGCAUGCUUUUAGCACCUUUGUCUAAUAUAAGGUAGUUGUAGUUUUGUGGGUUAGUCUCUGUGCCCUCUAUUCUGUACCAUUGGUCUAUCAGCGUGUUUUGGUGCCAGUACCAUGCUGUUUUUGUUACUAUUGCUCUGUAGUAUAGUUUAAGAUCUGGUAUAGUGAUGCCCCCUGCUUCACUCUUCCUGCUAAGGAUUUCUUUAGCUAUUCUGGGUCUUUUAUUUUUCCAGAUGAAUUUCAUAAUUGCUCUUUCUAUUUCUGUGAGGAAUGCCAUUGGGAUUUUGAUUGGAAUCGCAUUGAAUCUGCUACAGAAGGUUUUAUAGUUGAUUGCUGCACUAAAUUCCUGAUGCAAGUUUGUUAGAAUCCAGGCUGUCGUAUACUCACUGAAAGAAAGGUGAUGUAAACCUAUUUUAGAAAUAAAUGGGGAUCUGUACUUUUAAUCUUUUUCUUUUCUCACUCCUGGUGGAUGUUUGUACACCAAUGUGAAGCCACUCCUUUGUGAUCUAGGCAGACAUGCACACACACAGUUGCCAUUGCUCCCAAAGCUUGAAGGUUUAGGAUAUAAUACAUUGAAUGGAAAAAGUUGAAAUUGUGACAAGUUCCUUAAAGAAUUGUUAGGCUUGGAGUUAUUAGUGAGGUGAGCAAGGGGGAAGGGCUCAGGAAGUGCUGAACUACCACCUGGGCUGCCAGUGGUCGAAUAAAUUUCCCCUGUAAACCCUUUGGUGCUGGCUAGAUAAAAGCUCAGCUGUUAGCAACAGAGUUUGCAGAGUAUGCUGGCAAAUCCCUUUUAGGGAUAAACCAGGACCCUUGAGAUUUAACUCCUCCCCUGAGAUUCGGGAAUUCUGUCUAGUUAAAUGGCACAUUGCUCAAGGCAGGCUAAUGCCCAAGUAUACUCCAACUUUUUCUACUCAUCUGAUGGUAAAUAUUUUUUUUUUUUCAGUUGUCCAAUGUAUGUGCCUAUAACUUUAAGAGGGAAUCAAAACAUGAGUAGAUAAUUUAUUUGGUGUAUCCAUGAAUGGAGGGAGAGUCAGGAGGCUCAUAUUAUGGUGUAUUUUUAAAAUUAUCUCUCUUACUAUCUGCUUUUUAAUAUUUAUUUUUUAGUUUUAGGAGGACACAAUAUCUUUUACCUUGCAACAUCAGGCUUGACAAGUCCAAUCACUUAACAUCUCUGUGAAUAUUAGUUUUUUUUGUGUGUUUGCUGUUUGUUUGUUUGUUUCUUUAGCAUCUUUAAGUAGUAUUGCUUUAUACUUAUAUUUUAUGUUUGUCAUUGGAAUGUUUUCUUCUUUGUGAAAUCUUUUGAAGUUUCUCAUCUGUGCUCUACUCUGUUGAGAUGUAUUUUGGCUCCAACAAAAUGUAUAUUCAUAUAUUUUGCACUAUAAACACUUUAUUAGAAAUGGUCACUAAAAACAUCUCCCACUUUAGAUCUUACCUUUGAACAUUGGAGAUACUUACUUAAAAUGACAGAAGUAAAAUUCACAGAGGUGAAGUCCUAGAAAUUACAGGGUAGCAUCUUGGAAAGGAGGAAGUAACACAAUCAAGAUAACUGAAGUGGAUAUAAACUCCCAGAGUUUCUAGGUAAAUACUAGGGCCCAUAAACACUAUGGUGAGAUGACCGGAAACAUGCACAAAGGGUGAUCCAAGGCUACAUGCAACUGGGUGAUUUUCCAGGGGUCUAAUCAAAAGUAUUGGUCAUACCUGCUGUCUAAAAGGGUUGUGUCCUCAGCUCUACUUCUUUGGUUUGACUCUGUUCCAGGAGAUUUUGUGGAUGUGGAUUUCUCUAAAUUUUCUCUUAAAUAUUUUGGAGGCAGUUUUCUACGGAGCUCUGUCCCCAUCUCACUAUAUAUUGUGGAUCUUUCUCCUGUCUUGCUUCAGUUUUCAGAUCUAGGGUCCCCUGUUUUUCUUCUUUUUCCUGUGCUUGGAGCUGCAUUUUCUGAAACACUGGCAAAUAUUGUUUGCAAGGAUAAGCUUAUAGUUAAUCUGUCAUCUUCUGUGCUGUGAGGAUAGCUGCUGAUGUGCCAUCAUGUUCUAUGUAGGGUGGAUUUGUCUAUCUUACUUUUGAGGACUAUUUAAGCAAUUACAUUUGUGAUCAUUCCUUUCAGCAGCAAUAGGAAAAUUUAUUUUCUGUAAUUUUAAUUAACCAUGUGACCAAUGGCUAAUGUGAUAAAUGUUAAAGCUAAGUAGUAUUUGUCAAAGCUGUGCCAAUCUUUAGCAAAUUAUGAUUGAAGAUUACUAUCUUUUGUUGUUGUUGUAGAUGGACACAAUAUCUUUAUUUAUUUAUUUAUAUGUGGUGCUGAGGAUUGAACCUAGUGCCUCACUCAUGUGAGGCAAGUGCCCUAGCACUGAACUGCAACCCCAGCCCAAAGAUGAUUAUCCCAUUGUCAAAAACAACAGUACUUUGGUCAGAGAACUUCUUCAAUCUGGAGAAUUAAUAUCCUGUCCUUCUUUCCUUAGUUUCAGCUUCUUUGAAAUGUUAACUAUGUGUUGUGCUCUGGGGAACAUUUCCUUCUUUGGUUUAAUUAUGUCUCAUCAUUUAUGUAUAAUAAACAUUCUAAAGUUAAAUGUGACUUUUUUAUUUGCAAUGAUCUACAUAAGUGGAGGUUCAAUGCUGACAUAAAUUUCCUGAUAACAUUUGUUUUUAGUUUUGGAGGUGGGUGGAUUUUAUUUCUAAUUCUAUAUUUUACUAGAUUGAGACAAGGGGAGUUUGAUGGCCAGUUUUUCUAUUAUCUUUUGUGUCUGAUAACAUAUUUAUGGAAGUUUGUAGUUUAAUUCUCUUGAUUUAUGACUUAUAUGAACUAGACUUUUGCUGAGAUUCUCGCCAGUAUCUUUGACUUUGUCAAACUGAAAGUGUUGCAACUUGCUUAUAUCUCUUGGUAUCUCAGUUUAUUUUAAAGUGGAUAUUUUCAAAGAUAGGAAUUUACUAUCAGAAGCUAUAAGUGAGCUUAUAAAAGAAGAUACAAGAUCAAUCAGUUGUCUAUCUACAUAAGAAAAUGAAUAUUAAAAUGUGAAAUUAAGAUAAUUCUAGUGAAAAUAAUAUCAAAAGCAAAUAUUUAGAGACAAUAUUUAGAAAGAUGUGAAACAUUGAACAUUGAGAACUAGAACACCUGGCUUGUUUAUAGAAGAUCUAGCAUCAUCCCUCAGCCCCCUCCUUGUUUUAUCUCUGUGGUAAUGAAAUAGGGCCUAGGUGUUUGACCAGUGUGCUGUAUUGUAAAGAUGACCUUAGGCCUUGGCCUGAGCAACUCCAUUUUAAAACUCCACUUUGAAACCUGAAGUCUCUCCAGGCAUGCCUUUGUAGCCCUCCAAUAUGAUCAUCAUGAACAAGUCACUUCUUCCCACCCUGACAAGCUCAGAGUGAAGUCUCGUCAUGUUGCCCCACCCCACCAUAAAGGGGAGAGGCAAGAAUAUCUGGGUGGGGACCACCAGACCAGUUGCUUUAACCUCUGGGCAAAUGACAUCACUGAGAAAUCCAGUGGCAGCUGAUAGGGAUUGGAAGGGUGGUCAGAAGCCCCAAAAUUUAGUAUAAAUGAAGGAGCAAAUGAACAGACAUUCAGCCAGCUGACAAUGGUGCCCUCAUGCUGGAGAGCCUGAUGAGGACCUGGACUGACAUCCUAACUCUUCUCAUCUUUUCCUGAUCCUCUGCAUCUUCUUCACUGCUCUCAAACUGUACAGCCACAUCUUGACCCUGGUGAGAAGUGCAGCUUCUCCCUGUGACCCCCUCUUCAACCAGCUGUCAGCUCCACCCCAGGAGAAGCCUGCCUUGGUUCCUGACCAGAUCACCACAGUCUGAGUGAGUGGGCAUCUGCUGGACUUAGAGCCUAAGGCUUGAGACUGUAGAAC